UACGGGGGGGGCAAGCGUUGUUCGGAAUUAUUGGGCGUAAAGGGCGCGUAGGCGGCCUUCUAAGUCGGACGUGAAAUCCCUCGGCUUAACCGAGGAACUGCGUCCGAUACUGAAAGGCUUGAGUCCGGGAGAGGGAUGUGGAAUUCCAGGUGUAGCGGUGAAAUGCGUAGAUAUCUGGAGGAACACCGGUGGCGAAGGCAGCAUCCUGGACCGGCAUUGACGCUGAGGCGCGAAAGCUAGGGGAGCAAACGGG
rnacentral:rRNA from 1 species